AGCUGUUCACUGACUUGGCAAUUGAUAAGAAUAGAAAAAAUAACUCCACGGCUCACGAGAAAGCCAGGCGUGGUUUAAGAACAAGGCUGCACACACUUUCAAGGUUUGCAACAAACGGUUUUGAGUUUGUGCUAUGAACAGGAUUUCAAAGCUAGGGAACAAAUCAAUCAAGCAGUUGCUCUGAGAAAAUCUAUAUUACUAUCUCUCUGCAGUGAAGAAACGUCGGGAAAUCUUGUGUGAAGAUCAGGUAAGUGCAAUGUAAGUAUUCGAAUGGACUGAUGAGUUAAGAUCCUUUGAAACCACCCAAGAGCUGGAGAAUCAAGGAUUUAAAAAGCGUUAUAUCAAAGUGCCAGGUCACCGUAAGCUGGCUACAAGAGCUGCAUUUGUUUUCAUUGGUUUUUUUAUUUUUGUUUUCUUUGUUUUCUUUGUCAAUUACAAGAGGUGGGUUUGAGUCUGCGGCCAGCAGCUGCGGAGUCACGACGCUGGUAUCAGAUCAUAAUAGGGAAUAUCGAAGGAACUGGAAGUGUGGAGCUCGUUGGCGAGGAGGGAGUGGUCACGACACGCUUGUGGUCAUGACCCUUAGUUCACAGUAGCUCUUGUAGCCAACUUACGGUGAUUCAAAUGAGAGCUGCUGAAGCGAUUACCUCUCGAGGCCGGGCCGAGUUGCAGAUAGCAUGCGGAUUUGCGAUUGUUCAUCGCAGUUGGAGUUGCCGAUUGACAUGGCGAGAAUCAGGAGAUCCGUGGUGCUCAUACUAGUUGUAGCAGUGGUGAUCAUGCUGGUUGCCCAGGCUGCUGCCGGUGGCUCCAGCGGUGGUGAUAGUGGGAAGAAGGGGAAUGAGGGUGGCUCCAUCGAUGGCUCAAGCAGUGGUUCCAGCGGUGGUUUCAAUCAUUUGCUCUCGGGUAGUUUCAGUGGCAACAUUCGUCGCAGCUCGAGGUCUUAAUGUGACUGGUUUUCGAACUGCGAUUCAUUUUCAAACUGUGAUUCAUUAUUUUUGAAUCGUGAUUCAUUUUUGAACUGUGAUUCAUUUU